AAUUUUGGUUCUUCCAAGCAAAGCUGAAUUGUGGGCUUUUCACCAAUCUCCCUUCCUAGCUAAAGAAUUGGAAAGACGGGUUCUUCAUUCUCCGAAGUAAGGAUUCCCGUGGCUUUGAGGGAAUCCCUCGAAGUUGGAAUUAUUUGGCCAAAAGGUGCGAGAAAAAGAUCACCCUAAAUGAUGUCGAGAGCGCUAUGGUAAAGAAGCUUAAGAGCCAGGCGAUCUCUCGUAGGUAUUUAUGCUUGGACGUGAUUAUGGCCAAACUGAAGUGGUGGAUGAUGAGCGUGAUCGCCCAUGAGAACAUUCAGCAGCAACUCUCUAAUUUUGGCCCGGGACGGGUAAAUCCAAAUCUUUGGUCUUUUAAUCCCAGCGAUCUCACUAACUUGUUUUUCUGGGCAGAGAUGGCGAGAGGCAAUGCUGAAAAGGAAAAUCGAAAGCAGAAGAGGGAGCUCGCCAGGAAGGUGUUAGAAAUGAAGGAAGCCGCUGUCACUGCUGAGGCCCAGCGACGAGUUCAAGUGGAAGUGUCUAGCUCGCCAGAAUGAACUCACAAGCAACCGGCUUCGGAAGUGCAGAUCCUUACUGCGGAGCCUCCCAUUCCUGUUGAGCCUCCUUCCCGACCUUCGGUCUUUUCGGCUGUAGAGGGCGGAUUCUCAAGGCAGGCAGCUCUGGCCGGGCCACCACUCUCCUGAGGUGCUCAAGUCUUGCUUCAAUCACUGGAGAGGAACCGCUUGGUAUGAGGGAACACUGACUUAGUCAAAGUCUUGGGCGCUUCAAUUUGCUUCCCUGAAGACCGAACUCGGAUGGGCCUAGGGAGCAUGGAGGAUCUCCUCACUCAAACGAUGAGCUUGGGUUUAGAGGCAGUUGCGAACCAACAGAUGCUCAGAGAAAAGGCCCACCUCUUAAGGAGAGAGAUCACCAAGACAGUCCAGGAUGCGGUGGCUGCGAAGAGCCAACUUUCUGCUGCUAAUGAACGAAUCAUUGAAUUGGAGGGAAAAUUGAGGUCUCACGAGGAGAGGAUAGCUCGGCUGGAGAAGGAACUUGAAGAGGCCUGGGCUUGUCGAGCUUCUGACUUGGCUAAGUUCUCCGAAGAGAUUAAAGCAAAAGAGGAUGAAGCUUUGGUGGCGCUUAUGUGAAUGCACGUAGUGAUCUCCUAGCUGAGCUGGUCAAGCGCUAUCCUGAAGAAGACUUCAUCUGGCUCGAAAAGCUCGCCUCGGGUGUUGAAGCUGAAAGUGAGGAUGAACCAGAAAGGGAGGAGGGCGUAAACUAUGAAAAUGUAACUGGAGAUCGGG
rnacentral:misc_RNA from 1 species